rnacentral:rRNA from 1 species
GUGGGGAAUAUUGCACAAUGGGGGAAACCCUGAUGCAGCAACGCCGCGUGAGUGAUGACGGCCUUCGGGUUGUAAAGCUCUGUCUUCAGGGACGAUAAUGACGGUACCUGAGGAGGAAGCCACGGCUAACUACGUGCCAGCAGCCGCGGUAAUACGUAGGUGGCAAGCGUUGUCCGGAUUUACUGGGCGUAAAGGGAGCGUAGGCGGACUUUUAAGUGAGAUGUGAAAUACCCGGGCUUAACCUGGGUGCUGCAUUUCAAACUGGAAGUCUAGAGUGCAGGAGAGGAGAAUGGAAUUCCUAGUGUAGCGGUGAAAUGCGUAGAGAUUAGGAAGAACACCAGUGGCGAAGGCGAUUCUCUGGACUGUAACUGACGCUGAGGCUCGAAAGCGUGGGGAGCAAACAGGAUUAGAAACCCCUGUAGUCC